rnacentral:rRNA from 1 species
CCUACGGGAGGCAGCAGUAGGGAAUAUUGCUCAAUGGAGGAAACCCUGAAGCAGCAACGCCGCGUGGAGGAUGACGGUUUUCGGAUUGUAAACUCCUUUUUUUAGAGAAGAUAAUGACGGUAUCUAAGGAAUAAGCACUGGCUAAAUCCGUGCCAGCAGCCGCGGUAAUACGGAGGGUGCAAGCGUUACACGGAAUCACUGAGCGUAAAGCGCGCGUAGGCGGGAUAGCAAGUCAGAUGUGAAAUUGUGUGGCUUAAUCAUAGAACUGCAGUUGAAACCGUUAUUCUAGAGUAUGGGAGAGGUAGGUGGAAUUCUUGGUGUAGGGGUAAAAUCCGUAGAGAUCAAGAAGAAUACUGAUUGCGAAGGCGACCUGCUAGAACAUAACUGACGCUGAUGCUCGAAAGUGUGGGGAGCAAACAGGAUUAGAUACCCCAGUAGUC